UUAAAGAUUUUAUUAAUUUAUUUCUGAUUUUAAAUGUAAAUUAAAUGAGAAGUGUUUAAAAAUACUUUAAUUAAAGUGUUAAGUAAUUAAACACCCGGAAUUUUUUAAUUCUUAUCACAUCUAUGUUCUACCUUGAUUCAUUUGCAUCAUAUCUUGUUGUAUUAAGCCAUUGCUUACAGUUAAGUUCAACAGUACUUCAUACCCUUAAAAAAUUAAAAGUAAUGUAAACCUGACACAUGUAGCUACCACGUUCUCGUCGCCAUAUUGAUUAGCAAAUCUAACGCGUCGUAAUGUAUCAAGGAUAAUAAAUGACGAUGGCACUAAUGGUACACUUGACGAGAAAUUAAUUAAUCAACGCCACACAUCCGCCAUUUUUAGACUUCAUCUUUGUGGAAUUUAUAUAAAAAGUGAACAAUAUAAAAUAAUUUUUAAAAAAUAAACUUUUCUCGUAGAGUUAUGAAGUCGAAAACGACAUUUUUAUAUAUUAAUAACUCCAUAAAAACGUCAUUAAUGUAUCACGUGACCAUGGUAUUAUUUUAUCGCAACUCACGUGACACGUUUCAAAAUGUUUACUUUAGCGCUUACACCGAGCAAACUGUUUAUAAAUGGUGGAUUUUAUGAAAUAUUAACCGGAUUUUAACUGUAUUAAAUAGAAAAACUGAAAGAUAAAAACCAGUUAAUUACAAACAAAACAGUUUUUUUUUUCAAAAACGUUGUACCGAGGUAUUUCCGACUGGAUCUAUUUUUUUUUUUUUUUUUCAUCUGGUCAAAACCAGACUGUGCAGCGAGGAAUGUUCUUAUGGCCAACCAAGCAAGUUUACUUAGGUGAAUGAACUCGGUUCUCUAAACACAAGAGCCAUGAAUUCUCUACGUCUAUAGCCCUCCACGUGAUCCAUCCCUCAUAAAAGGAUCCAUACGUACUAUGACGUAAUCGCAGGUAAAUAUUUAUGUUUUCUAAUACCGAAAAUGUGCCAAAGAAACUCGGGUGUGUCCUGCCUUGAAUAAUACACUUUAAUGGGUAUUGCAAAUUGGGCUGCUGUAUCUUGUGUGGAGCCAUGUUUUUAAAUCUACGAAAACUUUGCCAACAAACAACACGCCAGUUCGUUGGCUCAAUGUGGAUUACGAAAGCCAAGUGAUGAACCUCUAAACAAAUCAGUAAUUGUAAUAAGAAAUUCGAGGUGUGUCGCAAAAUCAUCCUCCGCCGCAUCUUCGGAUCAUCAUGGAUUCUUCAGGUUUCUUCCCUCCUUAUGAUGAGAUGGAAAUGGCGAGAGGUCGACUGGACGAAGAAGCAGUUCAGGAAUUAAUGUGGCAGGACGAUGAGAAAUUCGAAGAAACUGUUUCCACCUUAAGCACGAGGGUAAGCCACUUUUAACCUUGUGACGUCAUAUAUGAGGUACCUGUUGACAUUGUAUAGUAAUUAAGGAUAGGAAUUCCUCUCCGACUCGGCGAUAACUUAUCGUAUUAUCUACAUCCUUUUUCGAUUUCAAACAGUAGGAACCUUAUUAUGAAACACGCGAGCAGGUAUAGAAAACACAAGAAAGCAUAAAAGAAUACUUGCCUUUUGUUACGUUUUUCUAAUAAUUACAUCAUUAGGAUGUCUUAAAACGUUGAUAUUUAUCUGUAAAAAGUUAAAAAAAAAAGGAUUUCUGUUUUUAGAUGAGGAAAAGCUUUUAUCUCGUUGAAAAUCUGGCGCAUUCGUAUUUGCGAAAGAAAUAAUAACGCCAUUUUUAAUGAUUUCGUUGCUUAAAAAAUGCGAAAGAUGA